GACUCUUACAUCCUCCCACAUUUUGUGUCUUACUCCUCCCAGCCCCUUUGUGUGACUCCUUUUCUCCCAGCCCCUUUGUGUCUUUUAUUCUUCCCAGCUCCUUUGUGUAUGUCUCUUUCCUUCUCAAGCCCCGCUGUGUGUUUCUUUCACAUCCAGCCCCUCUCCCCGUCCCUUAAUGGUCCCCUCCCUUCUCUGACCCUUACUGUUCCUCUCCCCUCUCUCCUCCUUUACCUGUUCCUCAGUGUUCCUUUCCCUUCCCCCCUCCUUUCCCUGUCCCUUAGUGUUCCUCUCCCCUCCCUCCUCUGUUCCCUGUCGCUUAGUGUUCCUCUCCCUCCCU